GGAGGGAUGUCCGAGUGGCUUAAGGAGCACGCUUGGAAAGCGUGUGUACGCUAACCCGUACCGUGGGUUCGAAUCCCACUCCCUCCG
rnacentral:tRNA from 1 species